UUCCGACUGACGAGUCCCAAAUAGGACGAAACAUGUAUUCUGGAU
rfam:Schistosoma curassoni strain Dakar, Senegal genome assembly, scaffold: SCTD_scaffold0000642